rnacentral:tRNA from 1 species
CAAGAUGUAGCUCAGCUUGGUAGAGCACUUCGUUCGGGACGAAGGGGUCGCAGGUUCAAUUCCUGUCAUCUUGA